UACGUGAGGGGCGAACGUUGUUCGGUGUCACUGGGCUUAAAGGGUGCGUAGGUGGUUACGUAAGUAACGUGUGAAAUACCUCGGCUUACCCGGGGAAUUGCGCGUUAUACUGCGUGACUUGAGGAUUUCAGGGGAAUGGGGAACUCCAGGUGUAGCGGUGAAAUGCGCAGAUAUCUGGGGGAAGGCCGGCGGCGAAGGCGCCAUUCUGGGAAAUUCCUGACACUGAGGCACGAAAGCGUGGGGAGCAAACAGG
rnacentral:rRNA from 1 species